rnacentral:rRNA from 1 species
CAGUGUCUGGUGGGUAGUUUGACUGGGGCGGUCUCCUCCUAAAGAGUAACGGAGGAGCACGAAGGUUGGCUAAUCCUGGUCGGACAUCAGGAGGUUAGUGCAAUGGCAUAAGCCAGCUUGACUGCGAGCGUGACGGCGCGAGCAGGUGCGAAAGCAGGUCAUAGUGAUCCGGUGGUUCUGAAUGGAAGGGCCAUCGCUCAACGGAUAAAAGGUACUCCGGGGAUAACAGGCUGAUACCGCCCAAGAGUUCAUAUCGACGGCGGUGUUUGGCACCUCGAUGUCGGCUCAUCACAUCCUGGGGCUGAAGUAGGUCCCAAGGGUAUGGCUGUUCGCCAUUUAAAGUGGUACGCGAGCUGGGUUUAGAACGUCGUGAGACAGUUCGGUCCCUAUCUGCCGUGGGCGCUGGAGAACUGAGGGGGGCUGCUCCUAGUACGAGAGGACCGGAGUGGACGCAUCACUGGUGUUCGGGUUGUCAUGCCAAUGGCACUGCCCGGUAGCUAAAUGCGGA